rnacentral:ncRNA from 1 species
ACGGGUCUUGCCGAAGACCUUUAAAGACGGCACAAUCAGGCGGAAACUGUAAUCCGCAAUUACAAAUAACAGAUAUAAAUGAUUGUCAAAAGGAGAACAA